AGUGAACGCUGGCGGUAGGCCUAACACAUGCAAGUCGAACGGCAGCACAGUAAGAGCUUGCUCUUACGGGUGGCGAGUGGCGGACGGGUGAGGAAUAUAUCGUACUCUACUUUUUCGGGUGGGAUAACGUAGGGAAACUUACGCUAAUACCGCAUACGACCUACGGGGGUAAGCAGUGGAUCUUUGGACCUUGUGCGAUUGAAUGAGCCGAUGUCGGAUUAGCUGGUUGGCGGGGUAAAGGCCCACCAAGGCGACGAUCCGUAGCUGGUCGGAGAGGAUGGUCGGCGGCACUGGAAGUGAGCCACGGUCCAGACGCCUGCGGGAGGCAGCAGUGGGGAAUAGUGGGCAAUGGGCGCAAGCCUGGUCCAACCGUCCCGCGUGGGAGGAGAAGGCCUUCCGGUUGUAAAACCGUUUUGUGGGGAAAGAAAAGCAGCAGGUUAAUACCCCGCUGUUCUGACGGUACCCAAAGAAUAAGCACCGGCUAACUUCGUG
rnacentral:rRNA from 1 species